CCAAUAGCGUAUAUUAAAGUUGUUGCAGUUAAAAAGCUCGUAGUUGAAUUUCGGGAUCAGUAUGUUGGUCGUGCUUCGGUACGUACUGUCAUUACUGGUUUCUACCUUCUGAAGAACCACGAUGUCAUUAAUUUGGUGUCAUGGGGAAUCAGGACUGUUACUUUGAAAAAAUUAGAGUGUUUAAAGCAGGCUCGCGCUUGAAUACAUUAGCAUGGAAUAAUGAAAUAGGACGUUUGAUUCUAUUUUGUUGGUUUCUAGGAUCGACGUAAUGAUUAAUAGGGAUAGUUGGGGGCAUUAGUAUUCAAUUGUCAGAGGUGAAAUUCUUGGAUUUAUUGAAGACUAACUACUGCGAAAGCAUUUGCCAAGGAUGUUUUCAUUAAUCAAGAACGAAAGUUAGGGGAUCGAAGACGAUCAGAUACCGUCGUAGUCUUAACCAUAAACUAUGCCGACUAGGGAUCGGAUGAUGUUAUUUUUAAUGACUCAUUCGGCGCCUUACG
rnacentral:rRNA from 1 species